rnacentral:rRNA from 1 species
GUCUAAGGCCAUGCCGCUCUGCACGUGCCUGAUCUCAUCUGAUCUCAGAAGCUAAGCAGGGUCAGGCCUGGUUAGUACUUGGAUGGGACACCACCUCAGAAUACCAGGUACUGUAGGCA